rnacentral:lncRNA from 1 species
GUCGCCAUCUUGGACUCGGUUCGACCAGGUCUGGUGACCGGCGACGAGGGGCCGGGCUCGGCGCCGGGGGUCGGGGUGAGUGGGUGCGAGCCGUGGGAGAGAGGGGGGGCGCUGGCGGCUCUCUUCGUCCGGCGCGGGCUGUGAGAAGUGAGCAGGGCGAGGCGCGGGCGACAGCGGGGCGCGAGGCCCGUGCAUGUGUGUGCGCACGGAGGUGGGGAGACGGUGAUCCCCGCCCGCCCUGCGGAAGGCCCGGCGGUUCUACCACCCGGCAGCUCGGCCAGCCCCGAGUCGCGUGGGGGCGGA